GGGGGAGGCUGGGAAGGACAGUGGAGGCUGAUAAAUAAGGCAGCAGUCUGUUCUGAGGGACGAGAAGGCAAAGAGGAGGAGGAGAACACACUUUGCCUUCUCUUUGGCAUCAAGUGAUAUCAGACGAAUUACAGACAUCCCAACAAUUUGGCCAGGCAGCCUGCUGAGCAAGGUAACUCAGCCAUCAUGGCUGUCUCUUUGCCACCCGCCCUGGGACUCAGUUCCGCCCCAGAUGAAAUUCAGCACCCGCAUAUGAAAUUUUCAGAAUGGAAAUUUAAGCUCUUCAGGGUGAGAUCUUUUGAAAAGGCACCUGAAGAAGCUCAAAUAGAAAAGAAAAUUUCCUCUGAGGGGAAACCCUCUCUGGAGCAAACUCCAGCAGUCCUGGACAAGGCCGAUGGUCAGAAGCCAGCCCCGAGUCAACCGGCAUUAAAAGCUCACCCUACGUUUUCGAAGAAAUCCCAUGAUGAUGGGAAAGCAGGAGACAAAGCAAUCCACCAAGCCAACCUUCGCCAUCUCUGCCGUAUCUGUGGGAAUUCUUUUAAAACUGAUGGGCACAAUAGGAGCUAUCCAGUCCAUGGGCCAGUGGAUGGUAAAACCCAAGUCCUUUUACGAAAGAAGGAAAAGAGAGCCACUUCCUGGCCAGACCUCAUUGCCAAGCGGUUCCGCUACGACUCGGCUUUGGUGUCUGCUUUGAUGGACAUGGAAGAAGAUAUCCUGGAAGGCAUGAGAGCCCAAGACUUGGAUGACUACCUGAAUGGCCCCUUCACCGUCGUGGUGAAGGAGUCUUGUGACGGCAUGGGAGAUGUGAGUGAGAAGCAUGGGAGCGGGCCAGCAGUUCCAGAAAAGGCGGUUCGCUUUUCGUUCACAGUCAUGAAGAUUACCGUAGCGCACGGCUCAGAAAACGUGAAGGUAUUUGAGGAGGUCAAACCUAACUCUGAACUGUGUUGCAAGCCCUUGUGCCUCAUGCUGGCAGACGAGUCUGACCACGAGACACUGACGGCCAUCUUGAGCCCUCUCAUUGCCGAGAGGGAGGCCAUGAAGGCCAGCAACUUAGUGCUGGAGAUGGGAGGCAUCCUUCGGACUUUCAAGUUCAUCUUCAGGGGCACUGGGUACGAUGAGAAGCUUGUCCGGGAAGUUGAAGGCCUCGAGGCUUCUGGCUCAGUCUACAUUUGUACCCUUUGUGAUGCCACCCGUCUGGAGGCCUCUCAAAAUCUUGUCUUCCACUCCAUAACCAGAAGCCACUCUGAGAACCUGGAGCGCUACGAGGUCUGGCGUUCCAACCCGUACCACGAGUCUGUGGAAGAACUGCGGGAUCGCGUGAAAGGAGUCUCAUCGAAACCUUUCAUUGAGACCGUCCCUUCCAUAGAUGCACUCCACUGUGACAUUGGCAAUGCGGCUGAGUUCUACAAGAUUUUCCAGCUAGAGAUAGGGGAGGUGUACAAGAAUCCCAAUGCCUCCAAAGAGGAAAGGAAAAGGUGGCAGGCUACGCUGGACAAGCAUCUCCGGAAGAAGAUGAACCUGAAGCCAAUCAUGAGGAUGAAUGGCAACUUUGCCAGGAGGCUCAUGACCAAAGAAACAGUUGAAGCCGUCUGUGAAUUAAUCCCCUCCGAGGAGAGGCAUGAAGCUCUCAGGGAGCUGAUGGACCUUUACCUGAAGA
rnacentral:lncRNA from 1 species